AAAAAUGUAGUCACCAUCUGGAAGAUAUCCUCACCAAUAAUGUCCCAACAUGUCUGAUAAGAUGCUACUGUAUAUCCAUCCGGACAAUCUGCAGAUUCAGCAUUAAGUCCAAAAACAACACUCAUGACCUCUUCUGUUGAAGGCAAAUUGACAAGCCUUGCAUUUGUUCCCCAUCGAUCAAAGAAGGUACAUAAUCCAUGAUGCCAAAUUCAGUAGGGACCUCUGAUUCACAGAACUGUUCUUUGAAAAAAUUGACAGCUUCUUCUGCUAUUUGUUCUUCUUCUUCUAACCAUAUGUCCAUGUUGUUUUGUAUUCUCUUAACUUGUAUUCUUUUCCUUCUUCCAUUUACUAGAGCAUGGAAGAACUUAGUAUUCCUAUC
rnacentral:lncRNA from 1 species